AUUGAACGCUGGCGGCAGGCCUAACACAUGCAAGUCGAACGGUAACAGGAAGCAGCUUGCUGCUUUGCUGACGAGUGGCGGACGGGUGAGUAAUGUCUGGGAAACUGCCUGAUGGAGGGGGAUAACUACUGGAAACGGUAGCUAAUACCGCAUAACGUCGCAAGACCAAAGAGGGGGACCUUCGGGCCUCUUGCCAUCGGAUGUGCCCAGAUGGGAUUAGCUAGUAGGUGGGGUAACGGCUCACCUAGGCGACGAUCCCUAGCUGGUCUGAGAGGAUGACCAGCCACACUGGAACUGAGACACGGUCCAGACUCCUACGGAAGGCAGCAGUGGGGAAUAUUGCACAAUGGGCGCAAGCCUGAUGCAGCCAUGCCGCGUGUAUGAAGAAGGCCUUCGGGUUGUAAAGUACUUUCAGCGGGGAGGAAGGGAGUAAAGUUAAUACCUUUGCUCAUUGACGUUACCCGCAGAAGAAGCACCGGCUAACUCCGUG
rnacentral:rRNA from 1 species